CGGGACGGGUGAGUAAUGUAUGGGGAUCUGCCUGAUGGCGGGGGGUAACUACUGGAAACGGUAGCUAAUACCGCAUAAUGUCUGCGGACCAAAGCGGGGGACCUCCGGGCCUCGCGCCAUCAGAUGAACCCAUAUGGGAUUAGCUUGUAGGUAAGGUAACGGCUUACCUAGGCGACGAUCCCUAGCCGGUCUGAGAGGAUGAUCAGCCACACUGGGACUGAGACACGGCCCAG
rnacentral:rRNA from 1 species